UACGUAGGGGGCAAGCGUUGUCCGGAAUUAUUGGGCGUAAAGAGCUCGUAGGCGGUCCGUCACGUCGUCUGUGAAAACCCGGGGCUCAACUCCGGGCCUGCAGUCGAUACGGGCGGACUAGAGUACUGCAGGGGAGACUGGAAUUCCUGGUGUAGCGGUGAAAUGCGCAGAUAUCAGGAGGAACACCGGUGGCGAAGGCGGGUCUCUGGGCAGUAACUGACGCUGAGGAGCGAAAGCGUGGGGAGCGAACAGG
rnacentral:rRNA from 1 species